UAUUAAAGUUGUUGCGGUUAAAAAGCUCGUAGUUGGAUCUCAGUUCCUGAUCGACGGUUCGCCUCUGGUGAUUUACUGUCGGUCAGAACAGCUCGUCGGCUCGCUCGGGGUGCUCUUUACCGAGUGUCCCGCGUGGCCGGCACAUUUACUUUGAAAAAAUUAGAGUGCUCAGAGCAGGCUUACCGCUUGAAUAGUUGUGCAUGGAAUAAUGGAAUAGGACCUCGGUUCUAUUUUGUUGGUUUUCGGAACCCGAGGUAAUGAUAAAUAGAGACGGACGGGGGCAUUCGUAUUGCGACGCUAGAGGUGAAAUUCUUGGACCGUCGCAAGACGAACUACUGUGAAAGCAUUUGCCAAGAACGUUCUCAUUAAUCAAGAACGAAAGUUAGAGGUUCGAAGGCGAUCAGAUACCGCCCUAGUUCUAACCAUAAACGAUGCUGACUAGCGAUCCGUCUGUGUUAAUCCCAUGACUAGACGGGCAGCUUCCGGGAAACCAAAGUCUUUGAGUUCCGGGGGAAGUAUGGUUGCAAAGCUGAAACUUAAAGGAAUUGACGGAAGGGCACCACCAGGAGUGGAGCCUGCGGCUUAAUUUGACUCAACACGGGGAACCUCACCAGGCCCGGACACCGGAAGGAUUGACAGAUUGAGAGCUCUUUCUUGAUUCGGUGGGUGGUGGUGCAUGGCCGUUCUUAGUUGGUGGAGCGAUUUGUCUGGUUAAUUCCGAUAACGAACGAGACUUUAGCCUACUAACUAGUCGGAGGAUCUAAUACAAGUGUCCUCUGUAGCUUCUUAGAGGGAUAAGCGGCAUCUA
rnacentral:rRNA from 1 species